CUGAGAUUGUCAUACGAAGCGUACUGUGUAUGUUCUGUGUCUUAUACAAGAGAGCACACUCGGCUUGAUACUGUUUCCCACAAUGCAAAGUGUAUGGAUUGACUUUGCAUUAACGGUGUGAUGAAAUGUCAAAAUGCGAAAUCUUAAUUCUUGCCUUUUUCCUUGCAAUUACGAGUUUAAAUCUUGCAAAUCUGACUUUUGUCCUUGCGAUUCUGAGAAGAUGAAGAAUUACGAGAUAUAAAGUUAGGAUUAUGAGAUAUAAAGUCAUUAUUGCAAAAUGUAUAUCCUAGUUGCGCGAUAAAAACUUGCAGGAAAGACUGAAUUUUGAGACAAAACAAGGAUAAUUGCAACUUUUUAUCUAUUUAUAUCAAUUUUGACUUUUCUUGGAAUUCUAUUCUCAAAAUUGCAAUACAUGAAGUCGGAAUUGUGAGAUUAUCAAUUUAAAAUGUGAAAAACAAUUGAAAAUUAUCUUUAACUUAUUUCACAAUUAUGUCUUUUUUUUAGAACUGAGAGUUAUGACUGAAUUGUGAGAUAUAAAGUCAUUAAUGUGAGACGAAAUGUCAGAAUAGUGAGAUAUAAAGAAAAAAAUGUGAUAUAUAAUCUUGCAAUACAAUUUUUUUGUGCAAUUCUAGCAGCUUUUUAUCUUACAAUUCUGACAUUUUUCUCGCUCAGAGAAAAAAAAGUCAGAAUUUUGAGAUAUAAACUCACAAUUUCUGAGAAAAAAUAGUCAAGGUAACUAUGAAUUUUUUAUCUUACAAUUCUGACUUUUUUACCCAGUUGCAUGUUUACAUCUUGCAAUCAGAGAAAAUGAAGAAUUGCGAGAUAUAUACAGUUAUUAUUGUAAACUCAGAAUUAUAAAAUAUAUGAUAAACUCAUAAUUCAGAGAUAAAAAGUCAAGCUUGUUUCUGCCACGGAAUAAAAAUAUAUAUAUUUUUUUUUAUCUCAAAAUCCUUACUUUUUUGUAUUUAUAUUAAAAAAAAAUCAGAAUUGUGAGAUUCAAAAAUCGCAAUUACCUUUUUUAUUUCUUUAUCCUGUUGCAAAAGUAAGCAUCCAUAGUAUGCCAUGUGCACUGUAUACUGCAUACUAUUGUGUUUUUUAAUGUCACGUGACACAGAACACAGCGUGCAAUUCAGCGUCUUAUGACGAAAAACUGCUAUCUUGAUUUUUUAAUUCAAAUUAGUGUAAAAGCAUCUAAUCAAAGGAUGGUAUGAUGAUGGUUCUGUCAUCACACUGGAAACAGAAGGUCAAGUGUGCAGUGUGCAGUAUGCAGUGUGCUCUCUUGUAUAGAAACAGCACGAGUCGUAUGCUUGCAUGGUUUUGCGAACACGGCCAGAUAACAAAUGCACUACAGACUCUGACGAGGGACAAACGCUAUUGUAGUGGUAGAAUGUCACAGUGCACCUUUUGUCACAAAGUCUUGAAAUAAGCUACAGAAGAUAUUCCACUGAACCAAAUCGAUGACUUUCACUGACAGCCAACCUUUCAGAUCGAGUCAUAUCGCAGCACUAACAAGCCAGAUUUCCUCUCUUUUGCAUAGGACACGAAUCUCGGAAACAAGCACAACAAGCGUUUAAUUUCCCUCAAGUGUAGAAAUGCAAUAGAAAGACUCUGGAAAGCUCUGCUCCCAGCGCUCGUGCCUCUUCUCUCCCAUCAUGCCAUACCUGAGAUAAUCAUCGCAGCUUUAUGACACUAGGUGUUAGGAGAGACCCACACCUCUGCUGUCUUUGGCCACAUUUGCUGCUAUGUGCUUCUGUUGUGUUCUUGGUAGAGACUAAGGCAUGUAAAUAUCACUGUUCCUUAUGUGUACAGAACUAUUCUAUCCAAAUAUACCGAGCUAAUGCGUGUGAAUACUUUUGUGAAGUAAUGAGACUGACAUGUCAGCUUUUAUUUUUCAAAACUAUUAAUAUAGGCAUAUGAUAUACAUAUAUGAAUCUUAAAUCGGCUGCAUCACGGUGAAGUCAUUCAUUCGAGAGUCCGAUGUCUUUUCUCUUUCUCGAUCAGUUCUUGAGGUGUAUGAGUGCGCCACAGAGGUUUUUGUAAACAUUUAAUUUUUUCCUUUCGUUCUUUUUUUCAGAAUUUGCUUGAGGAGAGCAUAUCUUAGCAAAUAUUAAUUUAAAUAAUAAAGAUGUGAAUACGAAAGUUGUCUCGUCAUGAUUUUCCUUUAAAGUAAACCUCCACGUGUUGAGUACACUUGAUGUACAAUUACUGAAAUUACUAAUUAUA
ensembl:lncRNA